ensembl:lncRNA
GUUAGAGGAGGCGGGUAGCCUAGUGGUUAGAGGAGGCAGGUAGCCUAGUGGUUAGAGGAGGCAGUUAGUCCAGUGGUUAGAGGAGGCAGGUAGUCUAGUGGUUAGAGGAGGCAGGUAGUCUAGUGGUUAGAGGAGGCAGGUAGCCUAGUGGUUAGAGGAGGCAGGUAGCCUAGUGGUUAGAGGAGGCAGGUAGACUAGUGGUUAGAGGAGGCAGGUAGCCUAGUGGUUAGAGGAGGCAGGUAGUCUAGUGGUUAGAGGAGGCAGGUAGUCUAGUGGUUAGAGGAGGCAGGUAGCCUAGUGGUUAGAGGAGGGAGGCAGGUAGCCUAGUGGUUAGAGGAGGCAGUUAGUCUAGUGGUUAGAGGAGGCAGGUAGCCUAGUGGUUAGAGGAGACAGGUAGCCUAGUGGUUAGAGGAGGCAGGUAGUCUAGUGGUUAGAGGAGGCAGGGUAGCCUAGUGGUUAGAGUGUAGAGGAGGCAGGUAGUCUAGUGGUUAGAGGAGGCAGGGUAGCCUAGUGGUUAGAGUGUAGAG